AUGCCUGAAGAACUGUUGCUG
rnacentral:piRNA from 1 species